GAUGGACGCUGGCGGCGUGCCUAAUACAUGCAAGUCGAGCGAACAGACGAGGAGCUUGCUCCUCUGACGUUAGCGGCGGACGGGUGAGUAACACGUGGAUAACCUACCUAUAAGACUGGGAUAACUUCGGGAAACCGGAGCUAAUACCGGAUAAUAUAUUGAACCGCAUGGUUCAAUAGUGAAAGACGGUUUUGCUGUCACUUAUAGAUGGAUCCGCGCCGCAUUAGCUAGUUGGUAAGGUAACGGCUUACCAAGGCAACGAUGCGUAGCCGACCUGAGAGGGUGAUCGGCCACACUGGAACUGAGACACGGUCCAGACUCCUACGGGAGGCAGCAGUAGGGAAUCUUCCGCAAUGGGCGAAAGCCUGACGGAGCAACGCCGCGUGAGUGAUGAAGGUCUUCGGAUCGUAAAACUCUGUUAUUAGGGAAGAACAAAUGUGUAAGUAACUAUGCACGUCUUGACGGUACCGAAUCAGAAAGCCACGGCUAACUACGU
rnacentral:rRNA from 1 species